rnacentral:lncRNA from 1 species
UAAUCAUUAUUAUUCAAUUAUGAUAAUGAUUUAGAAAACCUGAGUCUACCCAUUUUAAAUAGAAUGAGAUUGAUUGGCUCGUGUAUUUGGAAAGUCAAAGCUUCACUGUUGUUCUCCCUAGUUUCAUUCUCCCUCGGAUUUUGUGGUUAUGUAUGACUUUGUGGUGAUGUAUUUCUUUUAAGAGGAGAAAAGGGAUUCAGUCCAAAACCACUUAAUAAAAAUCAUUCUUAGUAACUAAGUUAGGCUAGGAUUACCAAACACUGGAUUAAGAAGACCCUGUAACUCCGGUAGGAAUUAACAGUCCUGCCAUUCCAGAGCCAGAGGGAAGAACAAACUGUUGCUCACAACAACAAAGGCAAUAAGUCUGGCAGGACUGAGAACUAGGAAUCUGGAUGAUCUCUGAAUCUAAAUAACAAGGAAAGAAGGGUUACCUCUGGACCACAGCAGCCACAUCCACAAAGGUGUAAACCCAAAGGGCAUAUCACAGGAUUUGUUUUUCCCAAUGAAAUGAUGUCUGGAAGGCUUGAACUGAAAUGCUCUUUCAUGAUGGCUGCUGAAGAAAGGCAAGCAAAGCCAUGCUCUUCCAGGGGCUGGAAAGCCAAGCCCUGUCAGGGAGACCCUGCAGUAGUGCUCUGUGGCUACACCAGAAGAAAGAUGUGCAGGGAGCUCUUCCUGUCCCAUGGCAAGGGGAGGACAACUUCUCCUUCCAGUAGCAGAGAGAUGGAACUCUUCUCAUCUCCUCUUGUUGGGGGAAUGGCUCAAAGUUGAGCACAACCAUGCGUCAGAAACCUGGCUUGGGGGAUGCCUGUCUGGACAGACAGAAAAUUGCUGUACAGUGUAGUGAGUAUUGUGAUAAGGAUGGUGGAGGGUGUUUAAUGAGUCCAUAGAAAACAGUGCCCAGCUCUGUCUUAGAGAAGAUUUCCCAAAGGAGAUGAAAAAUAAAUAGAGACAUAAAGAAUGAGGAGUUAGAACAAUUAGAGGAAGGAAAUUUCCAGGAAGAGAUGACACUAUGAAAAUCAGUCAUGCAGCAGUGAGAAAACCAGACAAAUUUUCUACCCAUAUGGAUAGUAGCUAUGAGCACAUAGGAGAGAUAAAUAAUACAUAAAUAUUUGAUAAGUGCUGUGGUUACAAAAUAAAGCAGAGUAGAGGAAGGAGAAAAUGGAGACAGAUAUCUCAGAUAAAAUCAUCAUGUGAGGCAACUCUGAGAAAGUGACAUCUGAAAAACACACUUUAAACAAGUGAAGGGGUAACAUAUGAAUUGGCCUGGUAACUUAUGAAAAUGAAAUGCAUGGCACUUCCACAUUAAAAAAAAAAUCUGUAUGAAGAAUAUUCCAGGAUGAGGGAACAGAGAGUACCGUUGUGAAAUAGUAGCACGCUUGGUGUUUUUAAAAAAAUUAGCAAGCAGACCAUUGGGUUGAUAUGGAGAUGAGAAAAGUAGCCUGGACAUAGAUAGUUAGGGUUCCAUAGGUACUGGUACGAGAUACCUUUGUUUGUUGUGUGAAAAAAAUAAAGAAUGUGAGGUGUGAAGCAUUCAUAUGAAUUGCUUUUUUAUUCUUAUGAAAACAGAGUCUGAAGCAAUUGCAGCAUCACACAACAGAGGUGAUGGAGGCUUGGAUUAAUGUGGUCACACUGGAGGUGACAUUCAGGAUUAUUUUGAAGGUGCAAGUGCCAAGACUUACUGAUGAAUUGAAAGUGACAUACUGUUUGAGAGCAUCAUAAGUAUAAUGACAUCAAGAAUUGUAACCUAAACAACUGAGUAAAGGGGAAGAUCAUUUUACUGAGCUAAACACUGAAGGAGAAACAGGACCAGGAAUAGGGGGAGGAAAAAUGGUAAUCCCAAAUUGAGUCUUAGCUGUGUUAGAUUAGAAAUGUUGGUUUGACAUCCAAAAUUCAAAUACUUUUUAUUUGGUUACAUAAAUUUGGAAUUCAGCAAGAAAGUCAAGGCUAGAAGUACAAAUUUUGAAGCCAUCAAACUAAAAAAAUAUUUAGAGAAAUGAGCCUGGAUGCUCUCACCUAACAAGUAAGAGCAAAUAAGGAAAGUACCUGAUGACUCAAACCUUGCCCACUCCUACCAUAAAGGCAUCUGAGAAGCCAGGACCAGUCAUUUGCAAUGAAAACUGAAAGAUAUAAUGCCCUAAAAAGUAAGUGAAGAACGUGCUUCUGAAGAAGGGAAUUUAUCAACUGAAUCACAAGA